GGGUAGUCUAGUCAGUGGUUAGGGUGUUUGACUUCCAGACAAAAGGUACUGGGUUCGAUUCCCCCAAUGUCUGUGGCCA